rnacentral:sRNA from 1 species
ACCGCCACGGACGGUGGUGGUUCCAAACAGAAGCGACGUUUUAAAGCAAAGUAAUUUGCAAAGUUUUAAAACUCGCAGGUGUAAUUUUGCCAUGGACGGAAAAAUUACACCGACU